GACGGAGGAUGCAAGCGUUAUCCGGAAUGAUUGGGCGUAAAGCGUCCGCAGGUGGCAGUUCAAGUCUGCUGUCAAAGACCGGGGCUUAACUUCGGAAAGGCAGUGGAAACUGAACAGCUAGAGUAUGGUAGGGGCAGAGGGAAUUCCUGGUGUAGCGGUGAAAUGCGUAGAGAUCAGGAAGAACACCAGUGGCGAAGGCGGCCUGCUGGGCAGUUGCUGACGCUGGAGGCGCGACAGCGUGGGGAGCAAACAGG
rnacentral:rRNA from 1 species